GCCCUCUCAGGAUGGUACCAGGAGAGUUUCCAGUACCCUACCAGUCUUGGCUUCGGAAGGGAGAGUCAAGCAGAGGCCCACCCAUUCCAUUCCUAGCUUGGCCAGUGGCUAGUGAGUGGAAGGCAAUCUGCUACAAGU